rnacentral:rRNA from 1 species
GAAUACAUCGGAACGUGUCUAUAAGUGGGGGAUAACGCAUCGAAAGGUGUGCUAAUACCGCAUAAUCUCUCAGGAGAAAAGCAGGGGAUCGCAAGACCUUGCGCUUUAGGAGCGGCCGAUGCCUGAUUAGCUAGUUGGUAAGGUAAAAGCUUACCAAGGCUUCGAUCAGUAGCUGGUCUGAGAGGACGACCAGCCACACUGGGACUGAGACACGGCCCAGACUCC